rnacentral:rRNA from 1 species
AUUGAACGCUGGCGGCAGGCCUAACACAUGCAAGUCGAGCGGUAGAGAGGAGCUUGCUUCUAUUGAGAGCGGCGGACGGGUGAGUAAUGCCUAGGAAUCUGCCUGGUAGUGGGGGAUAACGUUCGGAAACGGACGCUAAUACCCCAUACGUCCUACGGGAGAAAGUGGGGGAUCUUCGGACCUCACGCUAUCAGAUGAGCAUAGGUCGGAUUAGCUAGUUGGUGAGGUAAAGGACCACCAAGGCGACGAUACGUAACUGGUCUGAGAGGAUGAUCAGUCACACUGGAACUGAGACACGGUCCAGACUCCUACGGGAGGCAGCAGUGGGGAAUAUUGGACAAUGGGCGCAAGCCUGAUCCAGCCAUGCCGCGUGUGUGAAGAAGGUCUUCGGAUUGUAAAGCACUUUAAGUUGGGAGGAAGGUCAGUAGCUUAAUACGUUGCUGAUUUGACGUUACCGACAGAAUAAGCACCGGCUAACUCUGUGCCAGCAGCCGCCGUAACAC